GACGAACGCUGGCGGCGUGCCUAAUACAUGCAAGUUGAGCGCUGAAGGUUGGUACUUGUACCAACUGGAUGAGCAGCGAACGGGUGAGUAACGCGUGGGGAAUCUGCCUUUGAGCGGGGGACAACAUUUGGAAACGAAUGCUAAUACCGCAUAAAAACUUUAAACACAAGUUUUAAGUUUGAAAGAUGCAAUUGCAUCACUCAAAGAUGAUCCCGCGUUGUAUUAGCUAGUUGGUGAGGUAAAGGCUCACCAAGGCGAUGAUACAUAGCCGACCUGGGAGGGUGAUCGGCCACAUUGGGACUGAGACACGGCCCAAACUCCUACGGGAAGCAGCAGUAGGGAAUCUUCGGCAAUGGACGAAAGUCUGACCGAGCAACGCCGCGUGAGUGAAGAAGGUUUUCGGAUCGUAAAACUCCGUUGGUAGAGAAGAACGUUGGUGAGAGUGGAAAGCUCAUCAAGUGACGGUAACUACCCAGAAAGGGACGGCUAACUACGUG
rnacentral:rRNA from 1 species